GACGAACGCUGGCGGCGUGCUUAACACAUGCAAGUCGAACGGUAAGGCCCUUCGGGGUACACGAGUGGCGAACGGGUGAGUAACACGUGGGUGAUCUGCCCUGCACUUCGGGAUAAGCCUGGGCAACGGGGUCUAAUACCGGAUCGGACUCCGGACUGCAUGGUCUGGGGUGGAAAGAUUUAUCGCUGAAGGAUCGGCCGGCGUCUGAAUAGCUAGUUGGUGGGGUAAUGGCCCACCAAGGCGACGAUCAGUAGCUGGUCUGAGAGGAUGAUCAGCCACAUUGGGACUGAGACACGGCCCAAACUCCUACGGGAGGCAGCAGUGGGGAAUAUUGGACAAUGGGCGCAAGCCUGAUCCAGCCAUGCCGCGUGAGUGAUGAAGGCCUUAGGGUUGUAAAGCUCUUUCGUCCGGGACGAUAAUGACGGUACCGGAAGAAGAAGCCCCGGCUAACUUCGUGCCAGCAGCCGCCGCGG
rnacentral:rRNA from 1 species